AUUGAACGCUGGCGGCAUGCCUUACACAUGCAAGUCGAACGGUAACAGGUCUUCGGAUGCUGACGAGUGGCGAACGGGUGAGUAAUACAUCGGAACGUGCCUAGUAGUGGGGGAUAACUACUCGAAAGAGUGGCUAAUACCGCAUGAGAUCUACGGAUGAAAGCAGGGGAUCGCAAGACCUUGUGCUACUAGAGCGGCCGAUGGCAGAUUAGGUAGUUGGUGGGAUAAGAGCUUACCAAGCCGACGAUCUGUAGCUGGUCUGAGAGGACGAUCAGCCACACUGGGACUGAGACACGGCCCAGACUCCUACGGGAGGCAGCAGUGGGGAAUUUUGGACAAUGGGCGAAAGCCUGAUCCAGCAAUGCCGCGUGCAGGAUGAAGGCCUUCGGGUUGUAAACUGCUUUUGUACGGAACGAAAAGCCCCGGGUUAAUACCCUGGGGUCAUGGCGGUACCGUAAGAAUAAGCACCGGCUAACUUCGUGCCAGCCGCCGCAGUAA
rnacentral:rRNA from 1 species